UACGUAGGGGGCUAGCGUUGUCCGGAAUCAUUGGGCGUAAAGAGCGUGUAGGCGGCCCGGUAAGUCCGCUGUGAAAGUCGGGGGCUCAACCCUCGAAUGCCGGUGGAUACUGUCGGGCUAGAGUGCGGAAGAGGCGAGUGGAAUUCCUGGUGUAGCGGUGAAAUGCGCAGAUAUCAGGAGGAACACCGGUGGCGAAGGCGGAUCUCUGGGCCGAUACUGACGCUGAGGAGCGAAAGCGUGGGGAGCGAACGGG
rnacentral:rRNA from 1 species